rnacentral:rRNA from 1 species
UACGGGGGGGGCAAGCGUUGUUCGGAAUUACUGGGCGUAAAGGGCUCGUAGGCGGCCAACUAAGUCAGAAGUGAAAUCCCUCGGCUUAACCGGGGAACUGCGUCUGAUACUGGAUGGCUAGAGGUUGGGAGAGGGAUGCGGAAUUCCAGGUGUAGCGGUGAAAUGCGUAGAUAUCUGGAGGAACACCGGUGGCGAAGGCGGCAUCCUGGACCAAUUCUGACGCUGAGGAGCGAAAGCCAGGGGAGCAAACGGG